CUUUUGCGCAGAAGACACGUCCUGACUUUUUAAACCGGCGCACAUGCUUUUCCCGUCUCUUUCACGCUAGUGAGGAACGAAGAACCGAUUGUAGGAAUCUGGUGCGAUGCAGAGGGGGAUGUCACCAUGGCGGCCAUCACGCAAGAAACUUUGGCGUCCAUAUUGCACUGCACUAAAAUGAAGUUUCAGCGGGCCUUGACUGGAAUAGGCGCUUGAGAAGGCUACCACCCUCCGCUAAUCGGGGAAUCAUGUGAAGCUGGCCAGUUGUGACCCCUAUUUCCUGUGACAUUGUAAGUAUGUUGCACACCACUUAAGUAUAAGGUGUAUAGGAGUACAUAAGUGCAAAUAGGGAAUUUACAAACCGUUGAACAUGAAGUUGGUGUUUGUGAUGACUAAGCUUUUUUCCCCAGCAGAUCGACCCUGUUGACUCUUGAUUUAAGCCAAACCUGUCUGACACGCCAACUGAAUUGCAUAUAGUCAAUGUUGGCCUUGUGGUGGAAUGCAUAGUCAUUUGUGCUUUGCUUCCUGCAGUGGCAGAGUGGGGGAUUCUCAGAUGGCAGUUUGCCAUAUACCAGAAGAAAGACCAUCACAACACGUAUUGAAGGGAAGCGAUGUGGCCUGCCGGUAUCUUCCAACACCCCGGACAGGAUGAGUGAGGACCCAUUUUUGACUGAAAUGGGAGUCUCAACCCACGAAGACCAGACACCUAAAUGGUUCCCUACAGUAUGUGGGGACUCCCUGUGGCUGUAGGCUAAUUUUCUGAAGAGUUUGUCUACCACUUGAAGUAUUGUCCUUUUUGUUUGGUUUAAGAGCAUAAUACAUGGUGAGAACAGAACAGCAACUUUGCUUAUUUGCCUGCAGACUUCAGUAUCCAUCAUUGUCUAGGGACACUAUGGUCUUCCUCUACUACAUAGUGUGUGCAUGGGAUGCGAUUGUAUAUUAUCCACCUAAUUUAAUUUUGUUUUUUAAAAGUGAACUAAUGUAAACUGGCUCAAUUAGGCUUCUGUGCAAUUCUUCAUGGAAGUGUCUACACCAAAUUGUUUAGCAGCUAACCUGUUGUAAAUUGAGCCUAUGCUGUACUGUAUGAUAUCUAGGUGGUAUCUUUGAAAUGGGGAAUGUGGAUUCCAGAGACAUCACAAUAAAUCUGCUAGUACUGCAAAUUGGAGUAUUGAUGUAAUUGUCAAAGUG